rnacentral:rRNA from 1 species
AUACGGAGGAUCCGAGCGUUAUCCGGACUUAUUGGGUUUAAAGGGUGCGCAGGCGGCCAUUUAAGUCAGCGGUUAAAUCGUGGGGCUCAACCCCAUUCUGCCGUUGAUACUGGGUGGCUUGAUUGCGGUCGAGGUUGGCGGAAUUCGUUGUGUAGCGGUGAAAUGCAUAGAUAUGACGAAGAACACCGAUUGCGUAGGCAGCUGACCAGACCGCAAAUGACGCUCAUGCACGAAAGUGCGGGGAUCGAACAGGAUUAGAUACCCUGGUAGUCCGCACAGUAAACGAUGAAUACUUGUUUUCGGCGAUAUAAUGUCGGAGGCAAAGCGAAAGCGAUAAGUAUUCCACCUGGGGAGUACGCCGGCAACGGUGAAACUCAAAUGAAUUGACGGGG